rnacentral:rRNA from 1 species
UACGUAGGGCGCAAGCGUUGUCCGGAAUUACUGGGCGUAAAGCGCGCGUAGGCGGUCUUUCAAGUCAGGAGUGAAAGCCCCGGGCUCAACUCGGGAAUAGCUCUUGAUACUGUUGGACUUGAGUCCGGGAGAGGAUAGUGGAAUUCCCAGUGUAGAGGUGAAAUUCGUAGAUAUUGGGAAGAACACCAGUGGCGAAGGCGGCUAUCUGGACCGGUACUGACGCUGAGGCGCGAAAGCGUGGGGAGCAAACAGG